GUAGGUGAACCUGCGGAAGGAUCAUUAUUGAAUACUGAAUCGGUUCUGAUGCUGGCUCUUCACUGGGCAUGUGCUCGUCCGUUCAUAUUUACCUUCUCUUGUGCACAUUUUGUAGUCCUUUGGAACAAGUGAAUUUCGCGCUGCUGUGAUUAACUUCGCGGUGGUUGCGGUUUGGGGGAUUGGGUGUAACGGCCCUUCCUCUGUUUAUGCGCGUUGCUGCGAUUUACUUCGUGGUGACUGCGGUUUGGGG
rnacentral:misc_RNA from 1 species